rnacentral:piRNA from 1 species
UAUUUAAUUACUCCGGUGUCCUUAAAUC